UGUGACACCUUCUUCAGCUCCUCACAUGAAUAUUCAUAUAAAAAGGCGACUGAAUUUUAGUGGAAAUUGUCUGCAAUAAUACUUCGAUCCUUUCGCAUCCAGAAAUAUAGUUCAAUUCCUGCCGAAAAAUGUCCAAGCUUUUCAUAUUGAUUGUUUUGAUUGCAGUUUUGGCGAAUAUUUUGAUUUCUUCAACUGUUAUGGCUUGUUGGGAUGAAACUGAUAAUGAUUUAUGUACAUCUGAUGAUCAAUGCUGCUCACCGACGACGUGCAAGCUGUGGGUAGAUCGGUGGAUGUGUGGUUAAUUACAAUUUCUGAUUACUUUUUAAAGUAAAUACAACUGGUUAUUGAAAAAUAUUCCAAGCUAUGUACACCCAAAAUAAAUCAAUUAAAUUUCU